AGACGGACCCAACCAGUGUUCCCCAGCUGGCCUGGCAGUUUGUCCCCGUUCAGAAGGUGGUCAACCCCGUCCUGGCAUUCUGCAGAGGAGACACCGUACACUUCCUGCUGGUGAAGAAGGAUGAGACCGAAACCAUCCAUGUCAUCAAGCAAAGACAUCUGCAGCUGAACUGUGACAUCAUCAGUCUGAAUUGGAUCAACAGUCGUACCCUGGUGGUGAUGGACAGUGGGGGAG